GAAGAUAGAAACUUGUCUGUGAGCAGAGUACCCACGGUUUUGCAGUAAUAAAUCAGUACUUUGAGGAACUAAAACCUCAAGAACUCAUGCUUUUUAGCGCUCCAUUUAUGCUCCAGUUCAUAGUUGUACUGCAAACGAUAGCAGAGGCACUAGGCACUCUGAUCAAACAGCUGGCUGUUGGACCGAGAUGAAAGGUGUCUGCUUCUAACGUUGGCUAACAACACGGCUACUCGUGGUGGAGCAAAGUCCCCUGACCCAGGGGUGAAGCAAGAAAUGAUUUUUUUUUAAGAAGAAGAAGAAGCGUGUAGCCUGCCUCCAGAAUGAGCCUUAAAGCCGUGCAAGGCAGGAAUAAAGUGGCUGUCUGUGCUCUAGUUAAAGCAAAAUGUUUAGCUGGAGAGCCCUAGGAAGCGACUGGGGACAUGCUGUUGAUUCACCCUGCAGCAUCUGCCUGGUCUGCAAAGAGCACAGACCUGGGGAGGGGAAGACUUUCCAACCACUGUGCAUUUGUGCAUAUGAAUAAUGGUAACAAUUAUACUUUCACUCCCCUUCUCAGCCGUUCCUGAUGGACUACAAUCACAGCACUGAGAUGUAAUUUUUGGUUCAUCAUUUCCCUCUUAGAGCCAUCAGGCUGAUCAGGUAACCUUUUCAAGUAUUUGGGAAUUUAUUUGUUUCUGACUCUGCAAGAUGAUGGUAAAAUGUGUUACAGUUCUUUGCUGAAAUGAUGG